rnacentral:rRNA from 1 species
CCCCUAGUAACUGCGAGUGAAGCGGGAAAAGCUCAAAUUUAAAAUCUGGCGGUCUCCGGCCGUCCGAGUUGUAGUCUGGAGAAGCGUUUUCCGCGUUGGACCGUGUACAAGUUUCCUGGAACGGAGCGUCGUAGAGGGUGAGAAUCCCGUCUUUGACACGGACCCCAAUGCUUUGUGAUGCGCUCUCAAAGAGUCGAGUUGUUUGGGAAUGCAGCUCAAAAUGGGUGGUGAAUUCCAUCUAAAGCUAAAUAUUGGCGAGAGACCGAUAGCGAACAAGUACCGUGAGGGAAAGAUGAAAAGCACUUUGGAAAGAGAGUUAAACAGUACGUGAAAUUGUUGAAAGGGAAACGCUUGAAGUCAGUCGCGUCGGCCGGGACUCAGCCUUGCAUUCGCUUGGUGUACUUUCCGGUCGACGGGCCAGCAUCAGUUUUGACCGCGGGAUAAAGGCGAGGGGAAUGUGGCUCUCUCGGGAGUGUUAUAGCCCUUUGUCAGAUGUCGCGGUUGGGACUGAGGAACUCAGCACGCCUUUAUGGCCGGGGUUCGCCCACGUACGUGCUUAGGAUGCUGGCGUAAUGGCUUUAAACGACCCGUCUUGAAACACGGACCAAGGAGUCUAACAUGCCUGCGAGUGUUCGGGUGGAAAACCCGUGCGCGUAAUGAAAGUGAAAGUUGGGAACCCUGGCGUGGGGUGCACCGACGCCCGGACCAGAACUUUUGUGACGGAUCUGCGGUAGAGCAUGUAUGUUGGGACCCGAAAGAUGGUGAACUAUGCCUGAAUAGGGUGAAGCCAGAGGAAACUCUGGUGGAGGCUCGUAGCGAUUCUGACGUGCAAAUCGAUCGUCAAAUUUGGGUAUAGGGGCGAAAGACUAAUCGA